UACGCAGGGGGCUAGCGUUGUUCGGAAUUACUGGGCGUAAAGAGCGCGUAGGCGGCUUUAUAAGUUAGGUGUGAAAGCCCCGGGCUUAACCUGGGAACAGCACUUAAUACUGUAAAGCUAGAGUGUGAUAGAGGAUGAUGGAAUUCCUAGUGUAGAGGUGAAAUUCGUAGAUAUUAGGAAGAACACCAGUGGCGAAGGCGGCUCACUGGUCCGGUACUGACGCUGAGGUGCGAAAGCGUGGGGAGCAAACAGG
rnacentral:rRNA from 1 species